rnacentral:rRNA from 1 species
UACAGAGGGUGCGAGCGUUGUUCGGAAUUAUUGGGCGUAAAGGGCGCGUAGGCGGUGCGGUAAGUCCGCUGUGAAAGUCAAAGGCUCAACCUUUGAAUGUCAGCGGAUACUGCCGGGCUAGAGUCCGGAAGAGGCGAGUGGAACUCCUGGUGUAGCGGUGGAAUGCGCAGAUAUCGGAAGGAACACCAGUGGCGAAGGCGACUUCCUGGACUAAUACUGACACUGAGGUGCGAAAGCGUGGGGAGCAAACAGG